UGACGACGUGUAUGAGGCAAUCCAAUCACAAAAUCCAUGUUCACAACUUUCCACUGUCAAGUGGGGAUACUAAACUCCUGCAAUGCAUCACUAGGCCUUUGGUACUCAACCUUGACUUGCUGAUAAUUUGAGCACUUAGCCAGCACUAUGCAAUGUCCUUCUUCAUACUACUACACCAAUAGAUUUUUCGCAAAUCACCAUACAUUUUAGUGGCUCC
rnacentral:lncRNA from 1 species